UACAGAGGGUGCGAGCGUUGUCCGGAAUCACUGGGCGUAAAGGGCGUGUAGGCGGCUUGCUAAGCCAUGUGUGAAAUCCCGGGGCUCAACCCCGGAACGGCACGUGGGACUGGCAGGCUCGAGAAUGGUAGAGGCGAGUGGAAUUCCUGGUGUAGCGGUGGAAUGCGUAGAGAUCAGGAAGAACACCGGUGGCGAAGGCGGCUCGCUGGGCCAUUUCUGACGCUGAGGCGCGAAAGCGUGGGGAGCAAACAGG
rnacentral:rRNA from 1 species